GAUAAACGCUGGCGGCGUGCCUAAUACAUGCAAGUCGAGCGAACGGACGAGAAGCUUGCUUCUCUGAUGUUAGCGGCGGACGGGUGAGUAACACGUGGAUAACCUACCUAUAAGACUGGGAUAACUUCGGGAAACCGGAGCUAAUACCGGAUAAUAUUUUGAGCCGCAUGGUUCAAAAGUGAAAGACGGUCUUGCUGUCACUUAUAGAUGGAUCCGCGCUGCAUUAGCUAGUUGGUAAGGUAACGGCUUACCAAGGCAACGAUGCAUAGCCGACCUGAGAGGGUGAUCGGCCACACUGGAACUGAGACACGGUCCAGACUCCUACGGGAGGCAGCAGUAGGGAAUCUUCCGCAAUGGGCGAAAGCCUGACGGAGCAACGCCGCGUGAGUGAUGAAGGUCUUCGGAUCGUAAAACUCUGUUAUUAGGGAAGAACAUAUGUGUAAGUAACUGUGCACAUCUUGACGGUACCUAAUCAGAAAGCCACGGCUAACUACGUGCCAGCAGCCGCGGUAAUACGUAGGUGGCAAGCGUUAUCCGGAAUUAUUGGGCGUAAAGCGCGCGUAGGCGGUUUUUUAAGUCUGAUGUGAAAGCCCACGGCUCAACCGUGGAGGGUCAUUGGAAACUGGAAAACUUGAGUGCAGAAGAGGAAAGUGGAAUUCCAUGUGUAGCGGUGAAAUGCGCAGAGAUGUGGAGGAACACCAGUGGCGAAGGCGACUUUCUGGUCUGUAACUGACGCUGAUGUGCGAAAGCGUGGGGAUCAAACAGGAUUAGAUACCCUGGUAGUCCACGCCGUAAACGAUGAGUGCUAAGUGUUAGGGGGUUUCCGCCCCUUAGUGCUGCAGCUAACGCAUUAAGCACUCCGCCUGGGGAGUACGACCGCAAGGUUGAAACUCAAAGGAAUUGACGGGGACCCGCACAAGCGGUGGAGCAUGUGGUUUAAUUCGAAGCAACGCGAAGAACCUUACCAAAUCUUGACAUCCUUUGACAACUCUAGAGAUAGAGCCUUCCCCUUCGGGGGACAAAGUGACAGGUGGUGCAUGGUUGUCGUCAGCUCGUGUCGUGAGAUGUUGGGUUAAGUCCCGCAACGAGCGCAACCCUUAAGCUUAGUUGCCAUCAUUAAGUUGGGCACUCUAAGUUGACUGCCGGUGACAAACCGGAGGAAGGUGGGGAUGACGUCAAAUCAUCAUGCCCCUUAUGAUUUGGGCUACACACGUGCUACAAUGGACAAUACAAAGGGCAGCGAAACCGCGAGGUCAAGCAAAUCCCAUAAAGUUGUUCUCAGUUCGGAUUGUAGUCUGCAACUCGACUACAUGAAGCUGGAAUCGCUAGUAAUCGUAGAUCAGCAUGCUACGGUGAAUACGUUCCCGGGUCU
rnacentral:rRNA from 1 species